rnacentral:rRNA from 1 species
AAAAGAAACCAACAGGGAUUGCCCCAGUAACGGCGAGUGAAGCGGCAACAGCUCAAAUUUGAAAUCUGGUCCCCAGGGCCCGAGUUGUAAUUUGUAGAGGAUGCUUUUGCGUGAGGUGCCGCCCGAGUGCCCUGGAACGGGACGCCACAGAGGGUGAGAGCCCCGUCUGUGGCUGGCCGCCGAGCCUCUGUAAAGCUCCUUCGACGAGUCGAGUAGUUUGGGAAUGCUGCUCAAAAUGGGAGGUAUAUGUCUUCUAAAGCUAAAUAUUGGCCAGAGACCGAUAGCGCACAAGUAGAGUGAUCGAAAGAUGAAAAGCACCUUGAAAAGAGGGUUAAAUAGUACGUGAAAUUGUUGAAAGGGAAGCGCUUGUGACCAGACUUGGGCGCGGCGGAUCAUCCGGGGUUCUCUCCGGUGCACUUCGCCGCGUCUAGGCCAGCAUCAGUUCGUCGCGGGGGAAAAAGGCUUCGGGAACGUGGCUCCUCCGGGAGUGUUAUAGCCCGUUGCAUAAUACCCUGCGGUGGACUGAGGACCGCGCAUCUGCAAG